GUUAUGAUUUAUGACUUCAAUCCAAUUUAUGGCCAUUUACAAGAAUGCUGAACUGGCUGUAAAUCAGUAAGAGACCAUAAAAUACUCAUGAGAGCUGCUGAAAUCCAUCUGGGUGAGCUUCCUUCCCUCCCAAGAGCAGCCAGAUGAGGGCAGGAAGAUGUAGGCCUCCCAUCAAGCCUCGCAGCAGCAAUAGGGCGUGGGGAUGUGAUGAAGUGCUUGGAUGGAGGAAAGGGCAAAGGCAAAGAAGGCUUGUUUUGAGGGCAUGUGAAAGGCAGAUGAGCCGUUGCCGAAGAACUGCUCUGCAAGACUUCAAUGGAGGAGUUUCACCCAAAAGCAAGGCCCACCUGGAUUCCAUAGCAGCCAGUGAUUUUCUGAAGAGAGAAGAGGAAGAAGGAUCUUGGUAUCUCCCUGCUCUUUACUGUUGUCUUCUUGCCUAGCAGAACUCAAUUGAGCACAGAAAUCAGAUACUGCAAAGGUAAAUAGUGCCCAGAUACUCACACACGUGUUCUCCUGUGGUAUUAAAGCUCCUGCAUUGAAAAGGAAUAAGCAUUUCAAACACAGUCUUCUAAUAUGCAAGUGAGAUGAGGGGAUGCUGUGAUAGUAAAGGAUGAAGAGAUAAGCUGUGUAGCGCCUAAUUUGAAGACGUAGGUAGUUGUUUCACUUCUGCUCCUUAGUCACUACUAGCUGUGGUUAGCUCGGGAAUGCAGCUGGAGACAGAUUGUUGAUGAGACAAUGUAGGAUGACAUCAUAAAAGCACCUCGUGCCUCAGCCCCUUGUCAGGAGAGGCUCACAGGUGUCUGCUCCAAAAUUAUUGCUGUUGGCCCCAACUUUAAAGUCUUUAUUCACUCAAAACUUUCAGCAUCUUGCAAUGAUGUUUUGCCUGAGUAAACAGCAGCGGGAUUUUGCCCAUCUAUCAGCUGGAGUAACUCUUCAGAAAUUCCAUUAUUUAGAAUGCUCAGCUCUGGCUUGCACACAACCCUGCUAGGGCUGUGAUUACAGGAGGGUCCUGUCAGAGGUUAGUAAGCUUGUGGAGGGAAGGUCUCUAUGGGGAGACAAGAAGAUGCAGAAAAUGGC
rnacentral:lncRNA from 1 species